UACGUAGGGUGCAAGCGUUAAUCGGAAUUACUGGGCGUAAAGCGUGCGCAGGCGGUGAUGCAAGACAGAGGUGAAAUCCCCGGGCUCAACCUGGGAACUGCCUUUGUGACUGCAUGACUAGAGUACGGUAGAGGGGGAUGGAAUUCCGCGUGUAGCAGUGAAAUGCGUAGAUAUGCGGAGGAACACCGAUGGCGAAGGCAGCCCCCUGGGCUAACACUGACGCUCAGGCACGAAAGCGUGGGGAGCAAACAGG
rnacentral:rRNA from 1 species